GUGGAAAAGGAAUAACCAAGCUAUCCCUCCUAGUAGCUACAUUAGCUAUGAUGCCAACACUGGUGACUUAAGUUUUAAAGGGUUUUCAGAGCGAGAAGAAGGAGAGUACAGAUGUUAUGCAUCAAAUGUUUUGGAACAAACUACAGCUGUCAGUGUCUCUCAACCAGUCACUAUUAAAAAAUAUCGCUUUCUGAGACCAGAUAGUAACCUUGCUACUGAACCAGUUAGCAUCAAACAAUAUGACUAUGUCAAAUUAUUUUGUAAAAA
rnacentral:sRNA from 1 species